UACGAAGGACCCAAGCGUUAUCCGGAUUUAUUGGGUUUAAAGGGUGCGUAGGCGGAUUGUAAGUCAGUGGUGAAAUCCUGCAGCUUAACUGCAGAACUGCCAUUGAAACUGCUUAUCUUGAGUACAUUGAGGCGGGCGGAAUGUGUCAUGUAGCGGUGAAAUGCUUAGAUAUGACACAGAACACCGAUUGCGAAGGCAGCUCGCUAAACUGUAACUGACGCUGAUGCACGGAAAGCUGGGGAGUCCAACAGGA
rnacentral:rRNA from 1 species